rnacentral:piRNA from 1 species
UGAUAGUCAAUCAGCUUAUGUGC